CAAUACCACGUGAAGGACGAAGGCCUAUGGGUUGUAAACUUCUUUUCUCAAGGAGGAAGAAUGACGUUACUUGAGGAAUAAGCAUCGGCUAACCCUGUGCCAGCAGCCGCGGUAAUACAGGGGAUGCAAGUGUUAUCCGGAAUUAUUGGGCGUAAAGCGUCUGCAGGUUGGCAUUUACUUUUGUUAAAUCUCUAGGCCUAACCUAGAAUCCGCAAAAGAAACUAUAUGUCUUGAGUAUGGUAGAGGUAAAGGGAAUUUCCAGUGGAGCGGUGAAAUAGAGAUUGGAAAGAACACCAACGGCGAAGGCACUUUACUGGGCCAGUACUGACACUCAGAGACGAAAGCUAGGGGAGCAAAGAUUAGAUACCUCGGUAGUCCUAGCUGUAAACGAUGGAUACAAAUAGAUGUUGUGCCUUUUUUAAGGUGCAGUGUCGUAGCUAACGCGUUAAGUAUCCCGCCUGGGGAGU
rnacentral:rRNA from 1 species